rnacentral:rRNA from 1 species
UAGGGAAUCUUCCGCAAUGGGCGAAAGCCUGACGGAGCAACGCCGCGUGAGUGAUGAAGGUCUUCGGAUCGUAAAACUCUGUUAUUAGGGAAGAACAAAUGUGUAAGUAACUGUGCACGUCUUGACGGUACCUAAUCAGAAAGCCACGGCUAACUACGUGCCAGCAGCCGCGGUAAUACGUAGGUGGCAAGCGUUAUCCGGAAUUAUUGGGCGUAAAGCGCGCGUAGGCGGUUUCUUAAGUCUGAUGUGAAAGCCCACGGCUCAACCGAUGAGGGUCAUUGGAAACUGGGAAACUUGAGUGCUGAAGAGGAAAGUGGAAUUCCAUGUGUAGCGGUGAAAUGCGCAGAGAUAUGGAGGAACACCAGUGGCGAAGGCGACUUUCUGGUCUGUAACUGACGCUGAUGUGCGAAAGCGUGGGGAUCAAACAGG